rnacentral:ncRNA from 9 species
ACCAUCCUUUUCUUGGGGCUGCGCUACUGUCCAAUGAGCGCAUAGCGAGGGCAGUACUGCUAACGCCUAAACAACACACCCGCAUCAAUAGAGCUCUGCUUUACCUUGGUGCAAUUUUUGGAAAA